UCUCCACAUCAGCUCCAGAUCAUAAAAUAUAUUAAUAUUUUAAUAUAAAUUCCAAAAAAUAUAAAAUAUACAAAAAUUGUUCUAAAACGUAACAAAAAAAUCGCUGCUUCGUCUUCUCCAAAUUUGACUUCGGACAUCAACUCAAGCUUCCCCGGCAAAUGAUAACUCGUAUCAGAUUCAACUCCAGCUUGGGAUUCAGUCAACUUCAGCUUCUAUUUUGGAGCGGUCUUGAUCUGGAUCUGGACGGACAUGGUGUGAUCGAAGCUUGGUGGAUGGAUCUAGGACUGGUUAGAGCUGCUUGUAGUUAGCAGCUUGUUGAAAAAAAUCAGAAUAGUGAUUUCCAGCUGAGAAUUAGCAAGAGGGUAUGCUUUCCGGUUUACUGCUUCACCACUUUGCACCAUUUUUUCGCUCCUGGGCGGGAAUUGAAUGUAAAACAGAGGAGAAGGCUAAACCUAAAUCGUAGGCAGUUAGGGAGGCUGGUGAAAAUUGAAGAUGUGCGUAUAUAGAGUUCCUCAAGUUGCAAGCUGAACCUUUGAAGACCUAGAUCAGACGGCUGGUAUGUUUCCUAAUAUUCUUAUCGGACGGGUGUGGGUCACUUUCUUCUACAGCCUUAUGGGUUAACCAAUAACCCAGCAAACAUGUUUAAACCGAUCAUAAUGGAUCUUUUCGGUUUUGAAAGCAGAGGAAAACAAAUUGAGCAGCAGGUGAAGAAACAAGCGACGGAAUAGAUUGACCUAGGUAGAAGGAACAUCGGUGGCGGCGGGAGAAGAAGGUGUGAUUUAAAGGAGCGGACGGUGACUGAAAAAAGGGAGAAGGUGCAUUUAAAGGGCGAUUUAAAAGUCUUUUAAUUGGGGUGGAAAUUUUUUUUACUUUAUACAAG
rnacentral:lncRNA from 1 species